rnacentral:rRNA from 1 species
UCCCCAGACUCCUACGGGAGGCAGCAGUGAGGAAUAUUGGUCAAUGGGCUUACGCCUGAACCAGCCAAGUCGCGUGAGGGAAGACGGCCCUAUGGGUUGUAAACCUCUUUUGUCGGAGAACAAAACCCGGGACGUGUCCCGGACUGCGUGUAUCCGAAGAAAAAGCAUCGGCUAACUCCGUGCCAGCAGCCGCGGUAAUACGGAGGAUGCGAGCGUUAUCCGGAUUUAUUGGGUUUAAAGGGUGCGUAGGCGGGAUGCCAAGUCAGCGGUAAAAAUGCGGUGCUCAACGCCGUCGAGCCGUUGAAACUGGCGUUCUUGAGUGGGCGAGAAGUAUGCGGAAUGCGUGGUGUAGCGGUGAAAUGCAUAGAUAUCACGCAGAACUCCGAUUGCGAAGGCAGCAUACCGGCGCCCUACUGACGCUGAGGCACGAAAGCGUGGGUAUCGAACAGGAUUAGAUACCCGAGUA